UAGGGAAUCUUCGGCAAUGGACGAAAGUCUGACCGAGCAACGCCGCGUGAGUGAAGAAGGUUUUCGGAUCGUAAAACUCUGUUGUUAGAGAAGAACAAGGACGUUAGUAACUGAACGUCCCCUGACGGUAUCUAACCAGAAAGCCACGGCUAACUACGUGCCAGCAGCCGCGGUAAUACGUAGGUGGCAAGCGUUGUCCGGAUUUAUUGGGCGUAAAGCGAGCGCAGGCGGUUUCUUAAGUCUGAUGUGAAAGCCCCCGGCUCAACCGGGGAGGGUCAUUGGAAACUGGGAGACAUGAGUGCAGAAGAGGAGCGUGGAAUUCCAUGUGUAGCGGUGAAAUGCGUAGAUAUAUGGAGGAACACCAGUGGCGAAGGCGGCUCUCUGGUCUGUAACUGACGCUGAGGCUCGAAAGCGUGGGGAGCAAACAGG
rnacentral:rRNA from 1 species